rnacentral:lncRNA from 1 species
CGCGUACCUGUCCUGCUUGGGCUUGAGCAGCGGGUCCAGCUCAUUGACCUUCUUGGCGUGCUUCAUGAAUGAGCUGCCCUCUAGGAUGUGCUCCAUGAUGGCGGCGGCCUCGAUGGAGCCAGGGUGGUGCUUGAGCUUGUGGGUGAGGUGGUCGGUGUACUCGGGCUUGCCGUUCAUCACCUCGCAGAAGACGGCGGACAGGACCUCGGACAGGACGGCGAGGACGUUGGCGUCGAAGCACACCAUGGCGCCGAGCGCCGAGCCGACGGACGUGCCAUUGACGAUGGCGAGGCCCUCCUUGGGGUUGAGCUUGAAGAAGCCGCCUUCGAUGCCGGCGACCUUGAACGCCUCGGCGGCGUCCACCUUCCUGCCGUCGACGGUGACGGCCUGCGCGUUGGGGCGGCCGGUGAUGAGGCCGGCAAUGUAGGAGAGGGGGACGAGGUCGCCGGACGCGGUGAUGGUGCCCCGGAGCGGCAGGCACGGGCUGACGCCGGUGUUGAUGAGCUUGGUGAUGGCCUCGAGGAUCUCGAAGCGGAUGCCGGAGUAGCCCUGGAGCAGGGUGUUGAUGCGGACGAGCAUGGCCGCACGUGACACCUCGGACGGGAGCGUGUGGCCGUCGGAGCCAUUGCCGAAGAUUCCGGCGUUGAGAUGCCUGGUUCGAGAGGACAAAACAUUUCGAGCUCAGCCUACGAAAAAUGUUCGAAGAAUCUGUCGGGCCUGUCAGAGUGAGCCGCUGACAGACAUCACUCCAGAGCCUGAACACAUCCGCGCCAAUUGCAACUUGCAACAACUGACCAGUCGUUGUCAGUGGGCGCGCACAUAAAUCAUUUGGAGCUGCAACCACUCCACGGCACUUUACUGGAACAAGAAGUAAACAAAGAGAAAGACAUGUGGGUUCGUGAUGAGUACCUGAGCAGCUCGACCUGGAGCGCGGGCCCGUCCUUGGUGCGGCGGUGCGAGGUGCCGCCGAAGCCGGUGGUGACGCCGUAGAUGUCGCCGCCGUGGGCAAUGCAGUCGAGGAUCCACUCGCUGCUGGCCUUGACGCGGGGGCGGGCAUCUUCGUCGAGCUCGACGGCCACGCCGGACGCGUCCUUGGCGGCGGCCACGGCCGCCACCUGGCCGACGCGGAGGCUGGAGCCCUCGAUCUUGACGAGGGGCUCGCGGAACUGCGCCACCAUGCGCUUCACCUCGUCGAGGUGGCUCCCCGCCAUCUCCGCGGCCGCCUUGCCCCAAUUGAGCGGGUCGCUCUCGAGGAUGGCCGUGUUGCUCGCCAUUUCUGCUGAGAAGCGAGGAGGAGGAGCUGCGGUGUGGUGGUAGUAGGUGGUAAGAAGAAGAGCUCGGGAGGUUGUGCGGAGGACUGCGAAGCUCUUCCUGAGGGAAACGGAGCUCGGAGGCGGCAGUUUAUAAAGCAACCGGGGGCCGGAGGGUUUAGGUGAAGCCGGGUGUUGGUGGGUGGGUUGGCGACCGGGUUGGUGUGUGGUGUGGUUGAUCUGAGAGAAGAGUGGGAUUCUCUCCCCAUUUUUUUUCUUGUUUUCCUCUAUUUUUUUUCCUCUUGACAUGGCGAGAGUAUGUGCGUGCAGGUGGCUGUAUGUUGACAUUGUAGAGCUGAGCUCCAGUGAUGCAGCCCAGCGUGCGCUGGUUGGAAUUGAAGACAGGUGGCUGUAUGUGCCGAUGUGCGUUGGUUGGUCGGGGGAUGAAGAGGCCUUUGGCCUUCGCAACGGAGAAAGUCCAACUACAGUGUGACUCCAGUUGUUGUCUCUAGUAGCCGCCGUAGGACUGCAACCCAUUGACCCUCUUGAUUAAUCCGCGGGCCGCCACCUGAUCCUUUCAGAAGUUUUAUGCCGUUUUUUCUUACAUUCCUACCAGAACUAAAACUUCUUUUUGUCGUGAAAUUUAUGCAAACUUUUAUAGGGUUUGCGGGGUAACGAAUUGACUCAUACAGAAGAGGAGAGUGGUUUAUCAUUUUUGUCGCCCCAUAGAUGUGGCGUGAAAAUUUCUCGGUAUAAAUUAACCACGUGCCAUAUAUGAUUGAUGAAUUGGUAGUGAUGGAUCAAGGCUAGUCCGUUCCAUUUCCUAAACCAAAUGACGAUUCCGUUUCCUAGGUAGAGUUGCGUGAUCUAUGUGCAGCCAACUUAACUAAACACCAUUAUCUUUCAUAUUCUUCAAAAGAAAUUAAAAGCUUUGAUCUUAUUUGUCUUCUGGAAGUACGGAAAACGAACUUGUCGCAGAAUUGUCUUGAUAGUUGCGCUCCGACGGCCGAGUCCAAGCCCCUCACAACCACCGCAUUGCCCCACCCGUUCCUUGACUACCACCCACCCCGUCCCGACUCGCCGGAGGACAACUUCCUCACGUGCCGCCUCACCGACGUGGUGGUCACCUCGCCUCGUCCCGACACCCUCCCGCUGCUCCCAUUCCUGCCACUCCUCCACCUGAUCCACCUCCUCCUUGUGCUACAGCCCCUGUGCUAGCUCGGCUGGGGCCUAGCGGCGGCGCGAGGAGGUCCUUUCCUGCGCGAGCUGCUUGGCUACCUGAGGAAGAAGAAGAGGGGAAUAAGAGGAUGACAGGUGGGACCAUGAGUUGGGGCAAGAAUGACAAUUGACCUUCAAACUCCUCUUUUCUGGAGCUAGGGACACCCUCCCAGCCAAACACCUCCAACAGACAGCUCCGACUCCACCUAGAGCUGGCUCCACCUGGAGUUCUGGAGUGGAGCAGCUCCACCCAGAGUUGAAGCCAUGCCAAACAGGGCCUAUCUAUGCUUAUUUAUAAGAAUACCGUGCAUUAAUUGGAACAUGGAAAACCACCCAGGAAAACAGUGCAAUCACAAGGACUACAUGGCUCUGAUCUUGGCUAAUUAAUCAGAGACUCUAAGUUGGGGUAAUCUUACCAAAAGGGCAAGAGGGGAGGCGUUGAUGGGGUAUAGCUCGGCCCUCAAGCUUAUUUGCUCUAUGGUAGCUUCGCAGUCUUGAGAGAGGUUUAUGCUCUGCUUUGACCUAAAACCUUAGCGGGUUACUACUUACUAGGAAAUCUUUGUAAAGACCUCAUAGCGUCUCUAUGCAAUCACACCUCGGUAGUGUGAUAAGUGGCUACUUUUCACAGCAUGGUUGGGUCUAAAGUUCUUCUGAACUUUUACGUGACUUGUGGUGAAAGUGUACAACCUCUGCAGAGUGUGUAAAACUGAUAUAUCAGUCGUACUUACGGUUAAGAGCAGCCUGGACCCUCACAUGAUUAAUAAACUUGAAGAUGGAAUUAAAUCGUUAUUCUGAUUAUUUCUUGUGACCUUGUUGAGUACCAACCAUAAGUGCACUCAUCCUUGCUUACUGCUGCUCAGGAAAGGAAGGUGUGUGAAGUUAUUGAAGAUGAUGCUAAACGUACGCAACCCCUAGUCGAUUGCCUGUGAAGUUUGGAGCCUUCAUUUCCAGGAUUAAGCUAUAUAUCUCUAAUAGACUCAUAAGUCAUUAUUUAUAUUCCUUUACGUGAUAAUGUUACUAUUAUUCACUGAUAAUGUCACUAUAUGUAUGAAACUUGAUCCUGGCAUACAUAUACAUAUAGAUAGCAUUUGGUUUUAUUUUAAAACCAGGUGUAACAGUUGCUUGAUCCUUGAUUGGGGAUCUUAAAAUGCAUGUUUAGAGUUUAAGAACUUAGAUGACACCACGAGAUAAGUUGAGGGACAUGAAAAUAUGUUUUGAGAGUUUAGAGACCCGAUGUCAUCUUGAGAUAAGUUUAUGAACCUAAAAAUGUAUUUUGAGAGUUUAAGGACUUAGGUGACACUUACGACAAGUUGAAGGAUUGCCCGCGUAUUUACUCUUAUGAUUAUUAUUAUGUAUCUACUAGAGGUCUUAGUCAUGUCUUCAAAAUUAUUUGAUUUCAUCUCUGGAUUGUGUGUUUCUCACUGUUUUCUAAGUUGUAAUAACAAACGGUUAUGUAUAUCCUUAAUUAGUGCAGCGGCCAUAAAAAUCUUAUUUCUUCAUCUUAAAAAAGUAUACCACCGACCCGCUUCCCCAACCAAACCCAAAUAACGUUACAUUCACGACAUGACAUUGCGACAUUUUAAGGUGCAUGCCCAUUCUCACCAACCCUCUUUCUCCAUCGUCCGCGCUCUCAACAAAACCCAGGUGUUGACAGGAAGCAACCAGCCAGUAGUCCGCCCGCAACGGGGAAUCGAUUUCGGAGGGCCAGGUUUCUAUGGCGACGGGACGACGGAGCGUUGACUUCCGGUCCCGCGACGCGCGUGGUACGUGCAGCGCCGCCGCCGAAUCAUCACGGCAGACGCCGGUUCUGUUGUACCGCACCGCCGCCGAAUCAUCACGGCAGACGCCGGUUCUGUUGUACCGCGCCGCCGUGUCGAACGCCGGCCGGGUGCCAACGCUAACCGUUCCACCGCGACUGCGGUCACGUAGCGCCGAAGCCGGCCAGGCCCGAUCACCUCACUUCCCUUUUCAGGUUUUCAGCGUAGCGGAUGAGCGCAAAACCGAUCGACCGGUCUCACCAACCCUGAAAGGGAGAAACGAGGGUUGUUGGGACCUGGAAAUCACCAAUAAUUGUACUCGCUCAACCAAUCGCUACAUCCUGUAGUUCCCUCGCGUGCGAUGGCAGCCUUUUUCUUAUCGUCUGGUUCGUGAUCUCGAUCUCUCUCGUACGCGAUGAGCAACGUCACCCUACGUAUAUGGUGGUCGAAACUUGUACUCGUCGAUCAGCCCUGGCAAAGUGGCAAGGCACGCUUUAUUUGUCCUUUAACCUCCGGGAUUUGCUAGCCUUUGUCUUAUGCUCUGCAGUCUGCACUGCACGUACCUGUGGAACCAGGAGCCAUGCUGUUGUACUAUAGCUCAAAUGGGGCAUUGAGGCACAGAUGAGCUUGAGCUAGUGGACCCUAUUACUGAUGAGCUCCGAGCUCUGAGAUGAGGGACCAGCGCUAGGAAAAAAGAGCUCUAUAGAAACUUUAGUACGUAGGAUUUGGUCUCGAAUUUGAACGAACAUCUGGAGCUACGGGUCAAGACUACCUCUGAUCAAACGUGCCAGCACGAGCAGGUCGAGACAGCCAUGCGCCCAUGCAUGGUUUCUAACCAGCACAGUUGGUUGAGGUGACCGGUUGAUUGCCAGAGUUUGGAUAUUAACAUUUAGCAGCCUGACCAGCUGCGCUGUGUGCUGGUUGUUUGUUACCGGCGUUUUCGAGCAUCGAAGAUGCUCUGCAACGAGCCGCGAUAAAAUGAAAAAUAUGCUAAAAAUCGUUUAAAUCAAGCACGCAGAAGCUGUACGUUCAAACGGGCCAGUUGGCCCGGAGAAACCUAAAUGGUCCUAUUACUAAUGGUCUCGCUCUUGAGCGAGUACUAAGUUUAAGGAUUUUAUUUCGAAUUUGAACGUGAAUCUAGUGGUUUUUUUAGAGUCUCUCAACUUUUGAAGCUAUGAAUAUGACUGAUUGUUCUGCGUUGAACAACAUGGAGGAUCUGAAAGAUCUGUUUAACUCUAAUGCAGGCUGCAAAUCAGCUCGCGAGUGGUGCAAGACGUACCAGUCAAUCUGAUCUGAAAAUUAACGAGGUAAACAUUAAAUUCCUGAACCGAUCGGUGGCAAAUCCUUUCGAAUCUAUGGGUAGGCGUUCUUGGAAUAAACACCACAACAGAUAGAUAUUUAAUGUAAGCAUGCAGUGUAAAUGAAUAAAAUAUUAAUGGCAUGCGCCAUCGGCUAUAUCAGCGGACGGGCUAAGAUAAAGCAUUGUAACAGAACAGUCAUAAAAGGGGAGCUCUUGUUAACCACGCGCUUAUCAGAUAAGCUAACAGAUCUAGCCGGUCUUGACAGGUGUAUUGAACUCAGAUAAAGUAACACGAAUGAGAGGGCAUUAGCAUCAAUCUACUAACUUAAAAGAUUAGAACAUAGCAACAAGAAACAGUCGAUGUUGACUCUACGCAAGUCAGAUAUAUUGACAGAUCUUAAUUAAUGUCUUGAUAAGUGCAUUGAACUUAGACAAGGCAACACGAAUGAGAGAGCAUUAACCUCGAUCUGACAAUGUAAAAGACUAGAGCACAAUCACCAAAGACCUCUUGCCUACCGCUUACAAGCCUAUUAAUGUAACAAAGUCUAAUCAAUGUCAUGACCAUGUAAUUGAACUUAAACAAGUAACACGGUGAGAGUGCAUUAAUUUUGACCCGUUAAUCUUAACAGACAGGCUCGCAACAACAAGGCCUCGCAUGCACCCCUAUCGACUCAAUGACAUCAUCAUGCUUCCGUGAGAUACGGAUAAGACCCGACCAAAGCAUUGGCUCUUAAUGGUAGCGCGCUGACGUUAGAGGCUUGACGGUUAGCAAUAUGAGGGGCAGGAGGUAAAGAUCUAUCGGACCUAGCAUAUAUAAAGUACUAAACGCAUGCAGAGUCUACCAGCUAAUACGAUCUGAUAAUUGUGAACGUUUAAACAAGGCAAGGGGGGCGAUGAAGACAACCUAACCAGAUUUAAGCCGUUCAAUAACUUGAGCAACGUUGAAAACAAGCAAAAUAUUGGACAAAGUCUAAAAAUUUCUACUUGCAAUCUAAGAUAACUCGAUAACUAGCCACACAAUAUCAGAAUAUGAGACUUAACUCAGAAAGUUCUUAUAGAGGUUGUAAUGACCGAGUGACGGUACUUACAACCUCGCCUGAGGUCGAAGCCAAUGCCGUCUUGCGCGCUAGAAGGAACUCAAUCGAAUCUACUCUACUCCUACUCCUAUAAUUUUAGCGUGGCAUCUAAAGAUUGUAUUGAUUGAUUGAUGAUUUUUUAUUGCAAAGCUCAUGGGCUUAUAUUUAUACUCUGGAGCAAACUAAAAUCCUAGUCGAAUACGACAUGAACUAUUACAACUAUUUCUAAAAACUACUAAAGAUAAAUCUCCAUGCUUUCCCUUAUUUGGUUGAGUCGAUUUCGCUUCGGACUGGACCCGCUUGAUCUUCCAUCGCUUCUAGAAUCAUGAUCAAUAGCGGCCAGUCUUGAUCAACGUGGCGCCAACUUCAGGCUCUUUCUCUCUCCUCUAUUGGCUGUUAGAACCUUAUCCGCAACGGUUGAUUCUGGUCAAAAACCAGUAUCAACAUUGAUCUGUGUCCAAAUUAAAUAUGCCGUCACCAAGACGGAAGCACCCUGCAUUGUUUUAAACAAGGAAAAGAAACUAGCAGUAACCAGUAAGCACCAGAUCUUAGCAUUUGUCCAGUUCACGAUCUACACCUAUAUGCAAGUGAGAAUUGGAACUAAGCACUGCUGGGAAAGCGCCUUCAGUACCGGUUCCUAACCCCCUUAGUGUCGGUUGUGCAACCGGUAUUACUACUUCGAUACUAAAGGGGGGGCUUUAGUACCGGGUCAAAUAAUCGGUACUAAAGGGGUAUUAAAAAAUAAAAAAGGAAAUCCGCCGACCAGAGCUCCGCCCGCACCCUACCGCUGUCAGCCAGAGCGCCGGAGCGUCGGAGCUCCGGCCGCACCCUGCCACCGUCCACCAGAGCGCCGGAGCCGUGACCGCACAACACCUGAGCCCCGCACCAGAGGAAGGGAGGGAGAGAGGGAGGCAGCGUACUUACGCUGCUCAGCCACCGCCGCCGGUUGCUACCGUCGCUACUCCUCAGCCUGUCGAUUGCCGCCGUUGCCGGAUCUGAGGGAGAGGUGGCCGCUACUCCAAGAUCCACGCGCUCCUUACUCCGCCACACUUGCUGACGCUCCGCCACUCCUUGCCCCGCCACCACUCCUUGCUCCGCCAUGCCCUGCUGACGCUCUGCCGUCUCACCGCACCCUCCCUUCUUGCCUUUACCGCUCCUUGCCCUGUUGCCGCUCCUUGCUACAUGUAAGAGGUGAGGGGCGAGCGCGGAGGGGGGAGGAGAGGGGCGGCGACGGCAGGGGCGGUGAGGGGAUCAAUCUGUGUGGGGUGAGAGGGGAUUCGAUAGGGAGAAGAAGAGAGAGAGGCCGAAUGAUGAGGACGAGCGGAUAAGUACGUGUGGGGAGAGGGUGAGCGAGAAAGCGGGCUGACACGUGAGGGGAGGUACCCCUUUAGUACCGAGUGGGGGCUGAGCCUCAGGACGAAUGCUGAGUUUCCAAUAGUGUGGUUAGGUUAAAAACCUUUUGGUGAGGUUUGUUUGGUAACGCCUGCCGUUGACCUACAAAUUUGUAGCCGCGUAUGCUUUUUUUUUUCACCGUGCGAUUUUAUUUCCAACCACUGGAGCAUAGCGUUGCACUAAAUGACCAAACCUCUGCUGAAACUCUGACCAAAAUAAAAUUAGCAGUAGUCUCAUCUUACCAGCCACCUUUUGGUUUGGCAUUUUGCGGUUAUUUUUAUCUGAAACAGUGAAAUGAAGAUGAGGACGACCAUACUAGGAGAGAAGCAUGCCGCUGAAGCAAUAAUACAGGUGUCUGUUGACGACGCGCUAUCCCUCUACAGUGCAUGGAUCAACAUGAUCUCAAUAAAGCACGAAAAGGUAUGGGGUCGAUAAUUGAAGGAUCAGUCAUUUUUUCGUUUUAUUUCAUCGGAGUUUACAGAGAACAUUAGAUUACGUGAAUAGAAAAUGUUUUGAAUUGAAAACCCAUCCCAAAUCCUCCACACCGUUUUUAAUUUGUCUCUCAGGUGGUUUAGGCCGGGCUGGUUGUAGUGGGCACAAGUGGGCUCCGUCUGUUAGUAUUUCGGCCUGUUCUAUUUGAACCAGCCCAGCCCAUUGCACCCAAAGCUGCUGCUGGGCCGCCCCCUCUGGCUUGUUACCAGUUCGGUUCAGGCCUGCUUAAGUGACCUAGACACGUGGCGGGCCGGGUGGAUGCGCCAUCGAACCCAUCAGCGCUCUAAUAAAAAGAAAAUUCCAUCAAAGGUCUCAUCCGAAUUUCGUUACCUUUUUAAGAGAAACGAAAUUACAGAGUUUUGCACAGUAUUGCAGGUUUAAUUACAAACCGAAGAGCCAAAAGAUAGAUCUUCAGUAACCAGACACAGAUGGCCUGCUCGCUAAAGAGGACUCACUUAGAAUCGUUUACAGAGACUAUUACUACCACCGUACUAGCGAGUAAAAUAUUCGAGAGAAGAACUAGCAGCAGGAUCUUCCUAUGAUGUAGUCUUUCUCAGGUGGUGUUGCAUGAGAGUGGAAGUGGAGCGCGUUUCCUUCAUCGCUUCUGCGCUGUCUUACAGGUUCCGCGGGGUAAUACUUGUAUGAAAAAAAACCAUGUGUUCCGCAGGGUAAUAAAUGCAUUAAAAAGGGUAAAUUUUAGCAAAGGGAACAGCUACGGUUGGUGGGAACUUGCUUUAUUAGGAAAAACAUUUAGUAGCUUAUAUGCUUGGGAGGGUUAAAUUUUGAAGACGCAGUACUAAUUAGCGAACAUUUGGUAUAUGAGGAUUUUUUACUUCUUUUCAUAGAGAAAUAUGAAAUUCAGACGGAUACGGAAAAAAAUAUGAAAUUCAGACGGAUAUGACAAGCCAAGCCAAGGCUCAGCUGACUUGAAUUUGUCGCGGUGGUGGCGGUGGUUGUGAAAUUUCUGAAAUUGCAGGACCUGCUUCUGUAUCUGGCUCUGGCUGUCAUCACUCGUUCGGUUUCGUCCACUUUGGAGGCUUUGCCAGAUGGCCAGAUGCGCCCUUUACGUAGCCUCCGCCGCUCCGCGACACAGCGCAUCAAAGUUCACAGCAAAACGGCAGUAAGGAUUCUAGCAAACAAGACCAUCGGGUUGGUUUUCAACUCGAAUUCCUGGUGGAUCUGGCGGUAUCACGUUCACCUCAGGAAUCAGGAUGGGCUUGUUCAGGUUCGGUCUUCUAGACCUCCCGGUAGCUGCUUCUUCAGUACUUCGCAGCAUUGUUUUCCUGCAAGAAGACACACACGGCCGCAGUACAUGUAGGAUGGUAAAGGGUUUUAAAUUUAAUCUAGCAAAUUUAAAGAUCGUACUUAAUAAGGAUUGGUUUAUAUAUGAUUUUAAGCUAAAAAUAGAUAGAAUUGAGUUGGAUUGUGAAUGAGGUAUAAAGGACAUGGUUAUUACCGCACGUUGUGAAGCUGCUACGGUUCCGUUGCUGGCGAGGCUGCAGAGAUCGGUCUCUCCAGAAACCGGCAACACGCGAGCAACAGAGGAGCCAUCCACGGGAACUACACGUCGACAGGUAACGUGCACAGCUGUCUGUAGAAAAGAAAAAUACUGAAUACGUAUGUGCCCCCAUGCGUCAGCAGCUUCAGACCUGCACAGAUCCUACUCCGCGCACAUAAAGUCUAUCCACCUCCUGACCACGCGUAAAGCAACUCCAAGAGGCAGCUAAUCUUACCCACUCGAUAUUUUUUUUGAAAAAAGAGAGAAAAAAUAAACUCCAACAAUCCACCUAAACAUUCCCUAAUUUUUUAGCGAUGCUAAAAAAUAACCUGCCACCGCGUAUAUUUUAGCGUUGGCGUUCCUCCCCCAAUCCUAAUUCCCGCACGCCCGUGCGUCCCUUCCGAUGGGCCCAAUACAAUAACGUGCCCUGUGUUUGAAAUAUUGGGGGCUAUUUAUUAGCGAUCUGCUGCGGACUGAUAUGUUUUUAGGGGAAAUUUUUUUUGGAGAACUUCCAAUACAUAGUUUUGGGAAGAAUUUUUUAGGAUACUCUUGGAGUUGCUCUUUAGGCCCUGUUUGUUUCCACCCUCCUAAAAUUUUAGCUCCUAAAAAGUGAUUAAAAAGGGACUAAAGAGCCAAACAUUAUGACUAAAAGUGACUAAAAACAUUUAGGAGGCUUCAAUUUCUUUAGGAGCUCCACCCCUCCUAAAAUCUAAAGCUCAUCUUGGACCCCCACUACCCUCAUUUAUUGCCCUCCUCUCUCUCACCCUCCCUCCCGCCUAGGCCAUCCCCGCCAUUCCGCCCGCCGGCGGCGUCCUUCCCGCCGCCUGCCGUCGCCGCACGGCAACCCCACCCCCGCCGCCCCCGCUUCCUUGCGCUGCCACACGGGCCGGCCGGGCGCUCCCCUGCUGGAUCCCCGCCGCCGCCGGAUCCAGGCGAGGGAGGACUGGGAGGGGAGCGGCGGUGCCGGGGAAGAAGAGAAGGGGGAGGGGCGCGGCGGUAGGGAUUCGAGGGGAGGGGGCGGCGCCAGCGUGAGGAGGGGAGGGGGCGAUGGCCGGGGAAAGAAGAGGAGGGGAGGGGCGCGGCGGCCGAGUAGGGGGUGGCGGCCGGGGGAAGGAGAGAGGGGAGGGGCACCGGCCGCCGCCGGCUGGGGCAGUGAGAGGGAGGGGCGCCGGCGGGAGGAGGGUGCGUGUGUGCAGGGUACAGGCAUGUGCGUUUAUGUGGAUAAAGUAUGGGCAUCAUCCACGCCAAACUCAUGGUGCUUUUGUAUUUGCCGGCCUUGGUUGAUGUGCAGUUUUCCUCAUGUCCGUUUUCCUUGACUGACAACCAGUACAUUGAUGAUGCACGGGUAUGUGAAGCUGUUUUGCAAAUAAAAGAAGAAUUUCCAGCCCUAAACUACUGAAAUUAGGUGAUACAUGGAGUAUCCGAGGAACUGGCUAAGAUUAUUUGUCCUUUUGUACCUCGAUUGAUGUUCGCAUGCCAGCCAUAGCUGUACUUGACUUGUGGUUUGGAUCGCUACUGUACUACUAUCUGAACAUGAAGAACCAGGGAGCGUUGGCAACGAAAAAUUAUCUGUCCCACUCGGUACCUUUUAACUUACAUCAACACAAGUUCCAGGGGCUGCCAUUACCAUACAUGCCUUGCAAAUGGCAAACAUUAGCGAUGAUGUCGCAGCCCGGAUACAACUUUUCAAACAGUAACUAUGUAGGGGAGGAAAAAAAACAAGGAACAAAACAAAGUACAAUCAGCUACGCACAUCUGGACACCUUGAGGACCCUGGGUCUGACCACUCUGCAACUCGCUAUCUUUGUCUGUACUGUAUCCACUCUUCACUCCAUCAUCUCCUUGGGGACAGGGCAUGGCUCCUCUGUUCAGCAGAUGGACAGGGGCUCGCCGUUCCACUCCUUGAGGCACUCGAGCACGGCGUCGAUGUGCUUGCCCAGAUUCAUGGCCACGAACACCUUGUCCACCUCCUCGCCGGGGGACCUCGUCUUCUCUCCGGUCAGGUACUGGGUGCCGAGCUCCUCGCGCACGAACCUGUACAGCGGGUACGACCGGCACUCGGCGAUCCUGUUCGGGAUCGCGGCGGUGCCGUUCUCCACGGCGGCACGAGCGGCCUCCACCUCCCGCGGCAGAGCCGCGCGGAUCUCCUCCUCGAACGUGGCGACCUUGGCGAACACCGAGGUCUCCGGGUCGCGCUCGGCCUCGCCGUUGGCCAGCGCGUGCUCGACGAGCACCGACCGCAUCUUCUGCAUCAGCGGGUAGUUAGCGCUGCAGGAGUCGUCGGCGUACGCGAACACCGCCUCGCGGUCGAUCGCCGUGAGCAGGUCCUUCUCGCAGAAGCGCGCGUUGUGGAGGGCGCCGGUGGCGCCGGUGCUUAGGGUCUUCUUGGCCACCGUCAUCACGCAGCUCUUCACGGCGCCCUUCAGGUUCUCCUCCAGGUGGCGCAGGUCGAUGGCCUGGCACAGCGCGAUAAGGAACGUCGACGACAUGAGCUUCAGGAUGUCCACGGCCUCGGCCGUCUUCCUGGACGAGAUGAGGCCCAGGGAAUUGACGUCCUGGUUGUGCUGCUCCGCGCUCUGGACGUGGUUGGUCACGGGGUUGCCCAGGAACUGGAGCUCGGAGCAGUAGGAGGCCAUGGCGAUCUCGGCGCCUUUGAAGCCGUAGUCCAGGCUCGGGUUGCGCCCGCCGGACAGGUUGGAUGGCAGGCCGUUGUUGUAGAAGUCGUUCACGAGCUCGGAGAACUGCGCGAACAUGAGCUUGCCGAUCGCCGCGAUGGCGAGCCUGGUGUUGUCCAUGGACACGCCGAUGGGCGUGCCCUGGAAGUUGCCGCCGUGGAGCGCCUUGCCGCGGGAGACGUCGAUGAGCGGGUUGUCGUUGACGGAAUUGAUCUCGCGCUCGAUCGACUUGGUGGCGGCGCGGAUGACCUCGAUCUGGGGGCCCAGCCACUGCGGCGACGUGCGGAGCGCGUACCUGUCCUGCUUGGGCUUCAUCAGGGGGUCGAGCUCGCCGAGCUUCUUGGCGAGCUUCAUGUAGGAGCUGCCCUCCAGGAUGUGCUCCAUGAUGGCGGCGGCCUCGAUCUGGCCCGGGUGGUGCUUGAGCUUGUGGGUGAGGUGGUCGGUGUACUCGGGCUUGCCGUUCAUCACCUCGCAGAACACCGCGGAGAGGACCUCGGCGAGGACGGCGAGGACGUUGGCCUCGAAGAGCACCAUGGACGCGAGCCCGGAGCCCACCGCGGUGCCGUUCACCAUGGCGAGGCC